rnacentral:rRNA from 1 species
UACGUAGGGGGCUAGCGUUGUCCGGAUUUAUUGGGUUUAAAGGGUGCGUAGGCGGGUUAUUAAGUCAGUGGUGAAAGCCUGCAGCUUAACUGCAGAAUUGCCAUUGAUACUGAUGAUCUUGAGUAUGAUUGAGGUGGGCGGAAUGUGUCAUGUAGCGGUGAAAUGCUUAGAUAUGACACAGAACACCGAUUGCGAAGGCAGCUCACUAAGUCAUAACUGACGCUGAUGCACGAAAGCGUGGGGAGCAAACAGG